GUUUUUUUUACCCCGAGCCUGGGGCGUGGCCACUGCCUGGGCCCCGCCCCGCUCCCUUGCCUCCGGCGGUGGGCGGUGGGGGUUGGGCUCCGUGUGCUUCCGCUAGGCGGGGACCCCGGCCGGUGGGACAUGUCUGAGAUGCGCUGAAGCCUUUUGCCGCGGUUCCAGCUGCACCUGGACGGUUACCUGCAGGCGCUGUUGUAGCUGUUCGGUUGUGGCUGGAAGAAGACCCCAGGGCUUGGCUCUAGUCUACAAGGUGCCUUCCUGUAAUAGGAGAGGCUAGAACACCAAAACCUGCAAUCCUGGCUCCUUCGCAGGUCCAACUCUGGAUGUGAGUUGGCUUCUGUCAAUUAGACACGUUCAAGUGAGAUUUGGAAGGGCAGAAAUCAGAAAGGAAAAUCAAGGACAUAUCCUAAAUUAGAAGACAAGAAAUCCUUGUGAAAAUAUAUUAAUCUGUGUCAGCAAACAAGGGCAAAAAUCGAAAAAGAAGACAUGGGAUACAAGAACACAGUAACUAACCAAGAGUCCAGUAAAGAACAAUGCCAAGAUGUGGCAGAUCUGGAAGGCAUCUAUCUCCCGAGGACAUAAGUCAGUGGGCUCCAUGUAUUCAAAGAACGGAAGUAUUUCAUGCUAUGGAUGGAUAAAAGAGGCACAUAUGUCUUCUCUUCAGUAGGGAAAAAGAAAGGCAAUUGG